CGAAAUAGCUUUAGGGCUAGCGUUGUGUUAGAUUACCGGAGGUAAAGCACUGAAUGGUUUAGGGGCUGAUAAAGUUACCGACGCCUAUCAAACUCUGAAUGCCGGAUAAUUGAUGCACAGCAGUCAGACAGUGUGAGAUAAGUUUCAUUGUCAAAAGGGAAACAGCCCAGACCUACAGCUAAGGUCCCAAAUGUAUGCUAAGUGGAAAACGAUGUGGAAUUGCGAAAACAACCAGGAUGUUGGCUCAGAAGCAGCCACACAUUAAAAGAGUGCGUAAUAGCUCACUGGUCGAGUGACUCUGCGCGGAAAAUGUAACGGGGCUAAGCAUACAACCGAAGCUUAGGAUUGUCAAAAGACAGUGGUAGGGGAGCGUUCUGUACGGGGCGAAGUCGCAGCGGGAGCAGCGGUGGACUGUACAGAAGUGAGAAUGCCGGAAUGAGUAGCGAGAAUUAUGUGGGAAUCAUAAUGGCCGAAAAUCUAAGGUUUCUUGGGGAAGGUUCGUCCGCCCAAGGUAAGUCGGGAGCUAAGCUGAGGCCGAGAGGCGUAGGCGAUGCACAUACGGUAGAAAUUCCGUAACCACCGAACUUUAAGCAUGAGGGACACUUUGAGAUAGCGGGACCCGGGCGUUGGUAGACCCGGGCGAAAGGGACCGAAAUAUAGUAGGGAAGUCCGCGAUGCUCGGAGGCGAGAAAAGCUCAUGUGUAUACUAAGGUGCCCGUACCGCAAACCGACACAGGUAGAUGAGGAGAGAAUCCUAAGGCCAACGGGAGAAGGGUUGUUAAGGAACUCGGCAAAUUGACCCCGUAACUUCGGGAUAAGGGGAGCCUCCUACGGGAGGCCGCAGUGAAUAGGCCCAAGCAACUGUUUACCAAAAACACAGGUCUCUGCUAAAUCGAAAGAUGACGUAUAUGAGCUGACGCCUGCCCGGUGCCGGAAGGUUAAGAGGAGAUGUCAGGAGCAAUCCGAAGCAUUGAAUUGAAGCCCCGGUAAACGGCGGCCGUAACUAUAACGGUCCUAAGGUAGCGAAAUUCCUUGUCAGGUAAGUUCUGACCCGCACGAAAGGUGUAAUGAUUUGAGCACUGUCUCGACAACACGCCCGGUGAAAUUGAAGAACCAGUGAAGAUACUGGUUACCCGCAACAGGACGGAAAGACCCCAUGGAGCGUUACUGAAGCCUGAUACUGGGAUUCGAUGAUGUAUG
rnacentral:rRNA from 1 species